AUUGAACGCUGGCGGCAGGCUUAACACAUGCAAGUCGAGCGGGGGAGGUUGCUUCGGUAACUGACCUAGCGGCGGACGGGUGAGUAAUGCUUAGGAAUCUGCCAUUUAGUGGGGGACAACAUUCCGAAAGGAAUGCUAAUACCGCAUACGUCCUACGGGAGAAAGCAGGGGAUCUUCGGACCUUGCGCUAAAUGAUGAGCCUAAGUCGGAUUAGCUAGUUGGUGGGGUAAAGGCCUACCAAGGCGACGAUCUGUAGCGGGUCUGAGAGGAUGAUCCGCCACACUGGGACUGAGACACGGCCCAGACUCCUACGGGAGGCAGCAGUGGGGAAUAUUGGACAAUGGGCGGAAGCCUGAUCCAGCCAUGCCGCGUGUGUGAAGAAGGCCUUAUGGUUGUAAAGCACUUUAAGCGAGGAGGAGGCUACUUAGAUUAAUACUCUAGGAUAGUGGACGUUACUCGCAGAAUAAGCACCGGCUAACUCUGUGCCAGCAGCCGCCGUAAUAC
rnacentral:rRNA from 1 species